ACACUAAAGGAAUUUCAGUCUGUGAUGCAUACUGUUGUAUAAGAAGUCUGGAAAUCAAAUUGGCCCGAAGUGGGAGAAAUUUGGAUAUAAUGACCAACCUACAAAAAAUAUUAUUUCCGUACUCCAGCUGAGGAAAUCAAAGAUCAGAGAAAUUAUCAUAUUCAAUGAAAUCUAAUGAAUAAGGUAACCAUUAGAGAAAUGUGUGCAAAAAAGUGACACCAUUUAUUGCUGAUUAUAAAGAUUGGUGUGCAGAGGGUGAGAUAAGGUUGAGACAACGCUUCGGGAGUCUGUUGCAACAACCCAGGUGAGGUAGACAAGCAGAUGAUCAUCCCAGUGCAGUGCAGCAUGUUCUGUGCUACUGGUAUUUACGAGUUACAGUGAUUGCAGGAGGCAGCAACCCACUCAGAAACAUUCUGGACCUUCUCUAAGACAACCUGGAGAUUGAUGACUUACCUCCCUCUGACAUUGCUGUUCAAUUAGGUAGAGGUCAGGGAGACAUCUGCUUCAUAUUUCACCACAGGUGUGAGAAUCACCUACAGGGCUUGUUAUAACAUUGAUUGCUGGGCUCCACCCCCAGAGCUCUGAUUCAGCAAAUCCAGAAAACCUUAUGUCACUUCCAUAUAUGAAAAAGAGACAUCUCUUGCUUUAAAUUGAAGAAUGCUUACUAUCUGGCCACAGCUAUAGCAGAGUAUACAAACAAAAAGGCAAAGAAAAGGAAAGCAAGAGAGGAGAUAAGACAAACUUCAUCUCCUUUGAAUUGCGGCCUAGGACCACCCUCUCCACACAGUUCAUGAUUAAGAAUCAGAAGAGGACAGAUAGAUAGGUAAAAGACAAGGCCUUGAAUACACAAGAGGCAAGAAACGAAGUGACCCCUACUAAAGGAAACCCUUGACCAUCAGUAAAAGAAUGGCAUAGAAGCAGUCUUCCCACUGGCAAAGGAGAUCAUACAGAGGAGAGACCAGAAGAGAAGGAGCAGCUCAGCAGACUCAGAAGCUCUCUCCUAAACACAGGAUCACCCUUUACAUUCAAUUUGAAACUGAGCCAGUUUGAAAUAAGUACGGAUAAAUUCAUUAUUGCACUUUAUAUACUCCUCCAAAUGAUUAACUAUUGCUACCACACGUCCCUUUCAAAGGUAAAUGUUCUCCGGUAAGAGAACAAAGACAUGACUUGGUAAGCACACAUUGAUGAUAUAGUUGAAAUUUCAAAAUAUUACCUUCUUGCUAUAUUGAGAUAUUGUACAUAUAUAUGUUUUAUGUUAUACAUAUAGUAAGAGUAUGCAUUUUGUCACAGAGAUUCCUAAAUGUUAUGGAAAAAAAGAAGGAAAAUUUAAAAUAGUGACUGUCCACAGAUCAUGGCCAGAUUCCCUCUGUUAGCUGUUGAAUUACUGGUGCAUUGACUGCCUUGCCUGUGGGAUGUAUUUGAGUCCUGUAAAUAAUGACUGGGAGUGAGAUCUCAGGGGGACUGCAUGAGCUGUAUCUGAACCCUCCAGAUAAUGACUGUGCAGCCAACACACACAGUUCUUAAGGAGAGUUUUCAGGUCUUGGAGAGCUAGCCUUCUGCUCUGUGCUAGCCUAGCUGGCUUGGAGAACUGCCAGUGGCCAUGACUGGAGUAUCCUCUUAGAAUAGAGGACUGCAACUUUGGAGUUCUUUGGAUGGUUGUAAAUUACAGAGGGCUAAAGAAAUUCUCUAGGGAUUCGUGUUUUGUUGAAAGGAUGGUAGCAGCACAUGCCCCCAUACAUACACUAAAAAAAAAAAAGAGAAAAUGUAGCAUAGAAGUUGACUUUUAAAAAUUAAUUUAGGUUACAGAAAAGUAAGUUGGGAUUUGUCAUACAUGAUACUAAGUACAGUAAACUAUGUAUGAAUAAAGACAUUUCCAUAUGUUAUAUUCAUCUGUUUAGCCUGAUGACUAUGUCCACAAUUUCCCAUUUGCCUACUCCUUGUUAUUCCAUAUUGAAGAAUUUCAGAAGCAGAUUCCUUAAAAUACUUGAAAGAAAUUUCAACAUAAAUAUGCAAAGAUUAAAUGUCAUUGUUAUUUUCCAGAAGUGGAAAUCUUUGGCAAAAUGUAUUCCCAAGCAACCUUUCUUGCUUUGUUAAAUGAUUUACUUUUCAGAGCUAGGGCAAGAGAUUAUUCUUUCAUUAUGGUUCAAUAAGAAAAUCUUCCUUUCAACAUUCAUAAAUGACCAAAUAUAUAGAUUUAUGAAUAACAAUGAGCCUUAUUUUAUAUUUAAUAUUGGAACUAUACUUUGAGAUAUAUUUGACUCCUAAUCUACAUUGUUUUCUUCACAUCUCUAACAAAUAACUUUCUUAUAAGGAAGGCCUAUUUAAAUAGGCUAUCUUAUAGGUAAGGUCUAUUAUUUAUUCCUUCAAAACAAACUUCUGCCCUCUACGACAUGUACCUCUAUUUUUUAACAACUCAAUUGAGGUAUAAAUUACAAACCACAAAAUAUAACAAUUGCUAGACAAGUUGUUUUGGUAAAUUAAUAGAAUU